UCACUCACUCUCGCACGCUCACUCACUCUCGCGCACUCGCACACUCCCUCUAACCCUGUCUGGCUCCACACACUCCAGACUCUCUCACACUCACACUCUCUCUCUCUCUCUCUCUCUCUCACUUUCUGUCUCUCUCUCUUCCAUCUUUCUAUCUCUCUUCUCUCACACUUCUCUCACACAAAAACACAUGCUGUCUGGGGUGCGAGAGACACACACACAGAAGGAGAGAAAGAGAGAGACUGCCGACCACUCCCUGCGAAAGAGAGAGAAAGAUAGAAAGAGAGAGAAAGACUUACUGCAAAGCAAAGCUUGUUUUUUUUAGGAUCCACUGAGAAAAAAGAUACGCAGAAGAUGAACAGAAGAUGAAAAAGAAAGAGAGAGAGACAUCAAACGAAAAACGGAAAAAAGUCAAGAAAGUUGGAGUGUGGGCGCUGGUCUCUCGCUCUCUACAGUCUCUGGGUCGGGCUGGUCUCCCGUGCCUGCUGUGCUGAUAAUCAGUGUCUGUUUCUAGCUGGCUCAGUUCAGCAGGAACAGGGGCCUGGUGAUGCCUCUUACCACCACAGCUAAACAUCUGAACACACACACACAGAGGAGCCCACCGGACACACACUCCAGAUCACUGCCCUGAGAAAAAACAAGAAAUUAUACAUUAGAUUAUGUGAGUAUAAAUAUAAUAGCACUCUUUUUGUUCUCAUUCUAAAUAUUUUUUUUUAUUUAUUAAUAAAUUCUAUUAUUUUAUGCAUGUAUUUGUAUUUAUUAAUUGAGAAGUGUUUUUUUGUGCAUGCUUGUAUGUUACAGUUGCUGUAUUUUGUACAUGUGAAACAAAUAAAUAAACAAACAAAUAAAUAAAUAAAUAAAUACA